rnacentral:rRNA from 1 species
UACAGAGGGGGCAAGCGUUGUUCGGAAUUACUGGGCGUAAAGGGCGCGUAGGCGGCCUUCUAAGUCGAACGUGAGAUCCCCGGGCUCAACCCGGGAACUGCGUCCGAUACUGGAAGGCUUGAAUCCGGGAGAGGGAUGCGGAAUUCCAGGUGUAGCGGUGAAAUGCGUAGAUAUCUGGAGGAACACCGGUGGCGAAGGCGGCAUCCUGGACCGGUAUUGACGCUGAGGCGCGAAAGCCAGGGGAGCAAACGGG